GACAAGUAUUAGCACGAACUACUAAAACCUCAACAUCAAACUUUUUUUUAAUUUGUCACCGAAGUUACUAGAUUAGUUUGUUAUGAAGCAGAUUCUUCUUAGAUGAAUGAUGACCAUCUGUUGAUGGUCGAUCUACAAAAAUGUGAAUGGAAAGAAUCUCAAACUCCUCUCUCUUGUAAGAAAAGAAUCAUGACUGGAUUGUUGUUGUUAACUUUGGUUGAGUCUUGGGCCUCUUGGCGAUUUGAUUAACAUGAUGAUGGUUCACUUGAAUUAUCACCAGGUUUCUGGCUACCCUUCGUGUAGUGUUACUUGUAACCUCCCAGUACAUGGGCCAAAAAAAAUAUUUAAAGGAACGGGUUCUCUACGGCUCAAUUGCCUAGGAUUUCUUCCAUUUUCUAAUAAAUAGAAGCUCUCUCUCUCUCUCUCUCUCUCUCUCUCUCUCUCUCUCUCUCUCUCUCUCUCUCUCUCUCUCUCUCUCUCUCUCUCUCCCUCUCCCUCCCUCCCUCCUCGCCGCUCUCUCUCUCCCUCUUUACUGGCGGCCGCGAAUGGUGGUAGUGGUGGUGGUGAUUGUAGCUGAUUGGUGGUGGUGAUCAGAUCUUGUUUCCCUUCUCUCUUGUUUCCUGAUCUAGAUCCAUAUCUAGGCUAAGGUACACAAGUGUUGUCUAUAUCCAUCAUCAAAUCAAGACAAAGAAGAAGACUUUACCCAUGUUGUUUAGAGCCUACACAUCUAAUACAAUAAAGUUGAGAAAUCUGCCUCCUCAGGCUAUCCACGACAUAUUUGUGAGGGGGCAAAUAGUGACACAUGUCGCAACCACACUGGUCUGUGUGUCUCACGCGGUAAACCUACUUUUGAUGUCUGUGUAAUUGCGUAAACUACACGCGCAUUCAUUGUAUGCGAUUUGUUCUUCGCCAUCGCCGCCGUCUUGGUACCCUCUUCGCGAACGCAAGAGAAACGGCUACGAAAUCAAAUCAGAGAGGACAACCUCUGUCAAGCAUUACUUCCAAGCUCCCCCCCCCUCCCCUUUGUUGACUGACUUGAGGGAGCUAAUUACAAUUCUGCGUACGAAUACGAAUUUGAUGAAUUUGAUUGGAUCCUCUUUUAUGUAGGAUGUUCUUGCCUAUUUUGGUUAUUGCUGAAAUUCUACAGGUUUUAGUGGAGUUUUAGCCUCUUUGCUACGCAGGCUUUGUACCAAAAACAGGGUCUGUUUCUUAUCUCACUGAUCCAUCAAAGAUGGAGGAGGCUUCUGCUGAAGGUAACGCACAGCUGGAGGUUGUAGAGAGGUUGCUCAAGGUUUACUUGGCGUGCCCUCCCAAGACCAAAAACAUCAUGGAACUCAAGGUUCAGUUGUAGAUACCUUUAUUAAGUGGAGAGAGCACACUAUCAAAGAAUAAUAAUGGCUUAGAACAGAGAUAAAGAGCAAAGAACGCAAAGAGUCUUUUGUUAAUUUUUCUUAAUAAUAAACCUCACACGAUUCUGCAGUUGUUUCAUUGAAAUGUUUGCAAUUUUUCUGUAAUUUUAUGUCUAUCUUUAGCACUGAUGCUGUUAGGUUAUAAAUCUUUGGAUUCAAAUACAUUAAUGAUUUUGUUCAGAAUUUUGUGGAGAAGAAUAUGUAUGAUACAAAGAACAAUAUCAACAUUUUUGCUUCUGUUCUAUACAAUAAGAUUUUG